AGUGAAAUUGCUGGAUCUUAAGCUGACUGUAUGUUUAAUCUUCUGAGAAACUGUCAGGCUGUUUUCCAAAGUGACCAUUCCAGACUACAUUGCCAUCAGCAGU
rnacentral:pre_miRNA from 1 species